ACAUCCCUUUGAAGGCGAGCUAAAGUGAGAAGGCGAAACAUCCCCUCUACAGAGUUGUGCGCUGGGUUUGGGACCCGUCACGUAAAAAACGCCCCCAGUGAAAAAUCACCAACAGUCUCAGAUGAGGGACCUCCCCAUUUUAUGACGACGAUUUCAGGGCAUACACCUUAAAUCUCCGGUCCCUUAAUUGGCAAGGUGCCGCGAAAAGGAGCUGUCUUUAUGACGAUGAUGUACAGCUGCUGGCGUAUGCCGAUGAUAUUGAUAUUAAUGGCCUCAACAAUCGCGCUGUUAGUUCUGCUUUCUCCAGAAUGGAUAAGAAGCGAAUAAACUGGGUCUAGUAGUGAACGAGGACAAGAGGCAAUAUCUCCUUUGAUCAAACAAACUGUCGUCGCACUCGCGACUAGGCUCACAUAUCACUGUUGACAGUCGUAACAUUGAAGUUGUAGAUAAUUUCGUUUAUCUUGGUACCAGAAUUAACAGCAACAACAAUAUUAGCCUCGUUAUCCAACGCAGAAUAAUUCUUGCAACAGCUGCUACUUUGGUCUGAGUUGGCGAUUGAGGAGUAAAGUCCUCUCUUGACGAACAAUAACCAAACUCUAUAAGUCACUCAUUAUUCCCAUCCUGCUAUAUGGUGCAGAGGCACGAUGACAAUAUCUGAUGAGUCGACGUUACAAGUUGAGCUGGCUAGGUCAUGUCGUACGUAUGGACGAAAAUACUUCAGCUCUGAAUGUGUUUUACGCAAUACUCGCCGGGGGAAGCAGAAGGAGAGGACCUCCACUUCGUUGGAAAGACCAGGUGGAGAAGGACCUGGCUUCGCUUGAAUUGGUUAGCGCGUUUCUAAUUGCUACCGUACGUUUUGAGUAACACACUAGUUAUUUCUUUGGGUUUUGAUUUUUAUGCUUUUGCAUAAAAUAACAAUGUUAUUUUUGUAUUUCUUUUUUUCGCGAUACUUGUUUGUGUUUUGUUUUUUUGUUUUUCUCUUUAUUUGAGGAUACUUGAUUGAUUUUCAAACGGUAACACGGGAAUUGUUUGUCCCCUUAAAUGGUUACCGCCGAAUUUUAUUAUUACAUUUUGGUCCAACAGGAGUUUUACGAUUCUCCUGGCAGGAUCGCCAAUUAAUUAUUCGGUUGGUGUUUGGUGGGCAACCACGGGCAACUGCCCGUGAGCAACUCCGUGGUUUUCUUUAUUUUGUUUCUUCUUAAAUACAAUAUUUUCCUUAAGCGUAGAUACAAAUAUUAAUCUUACGUUCUAAGAGUUUUCACCAUUUUAUGGGAUCUGUUAUUUAUUUUAGGUGUCUGUCUAAGAGGCUCGAAGUUGCACUUAAUUUCACGUGAAAUGUGGGGGUUAUACUCACUUUUAAUUAUGUUCCCUUUUUUAAUUAAAAUAAAAAUUAAAAAUUUGUGCACAUUAACAAUAAUUCAAGCAAUUUACUUUUUGCGGGCAUCAAUCACUACUAGGAUUUACAUAUUUGUAAUAAAAUUUGUCUUAAGGUAUCCACUACUGUUGCUUAGAAAUUAGAAAAAUUGUAGGCACACACACACACGCGAUCGAAAGGGGCUCCAAAACUUGGGCCACAAAUUGGAAAUCAAAAUUUGACGUACGGAUAAGCGAUAGAAAAGCUGGUGAAACAUCUAUCACGAGCGAAAAUCGAAUUGGGGGCCAUCCCGCUCUGACCAAUUUUUUUGAUCGGUUGGUGGUGGUGAAAACGAUUAUUGACAUGUUGGUGUGUAGUGUGGUUGGUAAGAUGUAUGAUGUGGUAUGGUUGUGUUGGGUUGCGUGGUGUAAUGCUGUAAGUUGUGUGUUGAGGGGCGAAAUGUCAUAUGAUCAGAAGUCGCAUAAACAAACAUAUCUAUUUACAAAUAACCUUAUCGGAAUUAUUUAAACACAAAUUUUUAUAUGUCCUUUUAUUCAUAUUUAGAAGGAAGUAAAAUGUACAAAGACCGUAAGUUAGAUAUUUAAUGUAAUAGACAAAUACUUAUUUUUAUAAUAGACCAGCUGAUGGGUCGGUGGUAAUGAUUGCUAUGUACAAUUAAAUUGUCCUUCAAUUUCUUAAUAAGCAGUCUUGUCCAUCUGUACAUGCUUGGAAGACCUAACUCCUUAAAAGCAUAACUGGAAUUCCAAUUUUUAAAACCAAUUCAUUUGGUGGCAGUCUAGAAGAGUUUAAUGAAUUUGAAAACACCUGGGGAUAAUUGACUGCGUCUUCGAUAUUAGUCAGGGUGUCUAUCGAUUUGUAUUUUUUAUUCCUUCGGGAACUUUUUGAAUACUUAGAUCGUUUAUUUCGUUGACACUAUCAUUCCUGGUGACACUAUUGCCCUAUAACACUACCAAUUCUCGACGCCCUAUUAAGUGGACUUCUCCAUUAACUAUACACAUUGUUAAUGUUUAUUAAGUAGUCAGCUAUAGCAAACAGACAAAACCCCAACUAAUUUUUAUAUAUAAGAUUCAUUCUAUUUCAGUAAAAAAAUUGCAACUUACUUUAAAAAUAUUGAAAUUAACAAAACAAACACAACCAGGCUUGCUUUCAGACAUCACAAAUUUGUAAGGAAAUUGUGAGAAUUUGAGCUUUUGAAAUCUCCACGGCAUACGGACCCCACACAUCUCCCAAACCUAACAAUAAUAA